AUUGAACGCUGGCGGCAUGCUUUACACAUGCAAGUCGAACGGUAACAGGUUAAGCUGACGAGUGGCGAACGGGCGAGUAAUGCAUCGGAACGUGCCCGAUCGUGGGGCAUAACGCAGCGAAAGCUGCGCUAAUACCACAUACGAUCUGAGGAUGAAAGCGGGGGACCGUAAGGCCUCGCGCGAUCGGAGCGGCCGAUGUCAGAUUAGGUAGUUGGUGGGGUAAAAGCUUACCAAGGCGACGAUCUGUAGCUGGUCUGAGAGGACGACCAGCCACACUGGAACUGAGACACGAUCCAGACUACUACGGGAGGCAGCAGUGGGGAAUUUUGGACAAUGGGCGCAAGCCUGAUCCAGCAAUGCCGCGUGCAGGAUGAAGGCCUUCGGGUUGUAAACUGCUUUUGUACGGAGCGAAAAGGCUCUCUCUAAUACAGGGGGCUCAUGACGGUACCGUAAGAAUAAGCACCGGCUAACUACGUGCCAGCCGCCGCCGUAACAC
rnacentral:rRNA from 1 species